rnacentral:rRNA from 1 species
AUGAUGCAUAGCCGACGUUGUAGAGACUCGAUCGGGCCACAUUGGGGACUGAGACACGGCCCAAAAACUCCUACGGGAGGCAGCAGUAGGGAAUCUUCCACAAUGGACGCAAGUCUGAUGGAGCAAACGCCGCGUGAGUGAAGAAGGUUUUCGGAUCGUAAAGCUCUGUUGUUGGUGAAGAAGGAUAGAGGUAGUAACUGGCCUUUAUUUGACGGUAAUCAACCAGAAAGUCACGGCUAACUACGUGCCCAGCAGCCGCGGGUAAU